AUUGAACGCUGGCGGCAUGCCUUACACAUGCAAGUCGAACGGUAACAGGUCUUCGGAUGCUGACGAGUGGUGAACGGGUGAGUAAUACAUCGGAACGUGCCUAGUAGUGGGGGAUAACUACUCGAAAGAGUGGCUAAUACCGCAUGAGAUCUACGGAUGAAAGCAGGGGAUCGCAAGACCUUGUGCUACUAGAGCGGCCGAUGGCCGAUUAGGUAGUUGGUGGGAUAAAAGCUUACCAAGCCGACGAUCUGUAGCUGGUCUGAGAGGACGAUCGGCCACACUGGGACUGAGACACGGCCAAGACUCCUACGGGAGGCAGCAGUGGGGAAUUUUGGACAAUGGGCGCAAGCCUGAUCCAGCAAUGCCGCGUGCAGGAUGAAGGCCUUCGGGUUGUAAACUGCUUUUGUACGGAACGAAAAGCCCUGGGUUAAUACCCUGGGGUCAUGACGGUACCGUAAGAAUAAGCCCCGGCUAACUUCGUGCCAGCCGCCGCAGUAACAC
rnacentral:rRNA from 1 species